rnacentral:rRNA from 1 species
CUGAUGUUAAAGAUUAAGCCAUGCAUGUGUAAGUAUAAAGUCUUUAAUUGAUGAAACCGCGAACGGCUCAUUAAAACAGUAAUAGUAAAUUCAAUCAGUAAAUUAUUAAGGAUAACUUUGUGAAUAAUAAAUAUAAUACUUGAUAAUUCUUUAAAGUCAAAAAAAACUUUAAAGCUCUUUAAAAUUUUAAAAUUUUUAAAGAAUAGGGAUAUUUCUUAGAGUAGGAAAUACCCAUGAAAAUUGAAGAACACUUUGUUGUUUUACAAGUAAUUGAAUUUAAUUUCUGAUCUAUCAAUUAGUUGGUAGUAUAGAGGACUACCAAGAUUAUUACGGAUGACGAGAAAUUAGGGUUUGACAUCGGAGAGGGAGCUUUAAAGAUGGCUACCACUUCUAAGGAAGGCAGCAGGCGCGAAAAUUACCCAAUGAAAGAAUUUUGAGGUAGUGACAACAAAUAACUCAUGUAAAAGAUAAUUUUAUUUGAAGGAAUGAAUAAAGGAUAAAUAAAUUUAUGAAAUCGAUUAGAGGGCAAGUCUGGUGCCAGCAGCCGCGGUAAUUCCAGCUCUAAAAGUGUAUAUUAAAGUUGUUGUGAUUAAAACGCUCGUAGUUGAUAAAGACAGUUUAAUUUAAAUUUUAAUUUUUAAAUAAUGAAAAAUUAUUAAAAAUUAAGAUUAUUUAAAAAAAUUAACAAAAGGCUAUUUCUCUUUUAAAAAAAAAGAAAAAGAGAAAUGGAUUUCUUUGAAAAAAACAGAGUGCUCAAAGCGGACAUUAAAAAAAAUGAUGGAUGAAUAAGCAUAGUACAAAAUUAAAAAGGAGAUAGAAAUAUUUUGGAAAAUAAAAUUAAAAGGAUUUACCGGGGUGACUCAGAAAAUAAUGGGAGAGGUGAAAAUUCAUGAUCAUUAUAAGAUGCUCUAAAGCGAAAGCAUUUUACCAGGAUAAAUUCAUUAAUCAAGAACGAAAGUUAGGGGAUCGAAGACGAUUAGAUACCGUCGUAGUCCUAACUAUAAACGAUAUGAACCAGGGAUUGUAAAGAUUAAAAAAAUAAAAUUAUGAAAGUCUUAGACUAGAAUAAUUUUAUUAAAAAAACCCCAUACAGAACUUAAAGAGAAAUCUUGAGUUAUUGCAUUUCAGGGGGAGUAUGGUCACAAGGCUGAAACUUAAAGGAAUUGACGGAAGGGCACACCAGGAGUGGAGCCUGCGGCUUAAUUUGACUCAACACGGGAAAACUUACCAAGACCGAACAUUAGAGGGAAUGACAGAUUAAGGGUUUUUUCAUGAUUUAAUGGCGAGUGGUGCAUGGCCGUUCUUAGUUGGUGGAGUAAUUUGUCAGGUUAAUUCCGGUAACGAACGAGACUGAAACUUAUUAAUUAGUAUAUUUUCCAUGAGAAAAUAUUGUGGUAAAACACACGAGAGAAUGCGACUACUUAAAAGGACACAUUUCAAUUGAUUAUAAAUAAAUUAUUGUUCAACCACUUUGUGGAAGGCAUAUUUAAUUAUAAUAAAAGAAAAAGGAAGCAUUCAGCAAUAACAGGUCUGUGAUGCCCUUAGACAUCUUGGGCCGCACGCGCGCUACAAUGAAAAUGAAAAUGAGUAAAGAAUGAAGAAUUAAUUGGAUUGGAACGUUGUUUCUUUUUGAUUAAUUUCUUUGACUAACCAAAUUAGAAAUAAAGAGGAAAACUCAAAUCAAAUGUACUUGACUGGGAUAGAUGAUUGGAAUUAUUUGUUUUGAACGAGGAAUUCCUUGUAAUAUCAUGUCAUUAACAUGAGAUGAAUACGUCCCUGCCCUUUGUACACACCGCCCGUCGCUCCUACCGAUUGAAUAAAGAGGUGAAAUUCUAAGACUAAAAAAAUAGAAAUAUUUUUUAGAAAUGGAUUUAAACCUCCUUAUUUAGAGGAAGGAGAAGUCGUAACAAGGUUUCC